rnacentral:rRNA from 1 species
AUUGAACGCUGGCGGCAUGCCUUACACAUGCAAGUCGAACGGUAACAGGUCUUCGGACGCUGACGAGUGGCGAACGGGUGAGUAAUACAUCGGAACGUGCCCAGUCGUGGGGGAUAACUACUCGAAAGAGUAGCUAAUACCGCAUACGAUCUGAGGAUGAAAGCGGGGGACCUUCGGGCCUCGCGCGAUCGGAGCGGCCGAUGGCAGAUUAGGUAGUUGGUGGGAUAAAAGCUUACCAAGCCGACGAUCUGUAGCUGGUCUGAGAGGACGACCAGCCACACUGGGACUGAGACACGGCCCAGACUCCUACGGGAGGCAGCAGUGGGGAAUUUUGGACAAUGGGCGGAAGCCUGAUCCAGCAAUGCCGCGUGCAGGAUGAAGGCCUUCGGGUUGUAAACUGCUUUUGUACGGAGCGAAAAAGUCUCCUCUAAUACAGGAGGCCCAUGACGGUACCGUAAGAAUAAACACCGGCUAACUACGUGCCAGCCGCCGCCGUAA